CAACCAAUUUUCAGAAAUUGAGAUUACCAAUUUGGGUCCUAUAUAAGACUGGGGAGAAAAUGCAAAAUUCUGAAAUGUCUGCAAGGCUGGAGAGCAGUUUUCCACCGAGCUCUCCUCAGAUGAGAUUGCAGAAAUUCUUCUGUUUUCGCCUUCCUGCCUGGCUCUGCCACCAGGCAAUUCUGUUCACACUGUUCUCCAAGACAAAAUCUGAGCCAGCCUGAGAUUUGUGCUGAUGGAUCCCUUGGAGUCAAGAUGGAUUUGAACCAGAGCACUGCAGGAAGAAAUAAAUAUAAACAGAAUUGAGAAAAAAAUGGAAAAGAGCUCUUCAGAGUCAUGUAAACUCCUGGGGCAAAGAGAGAGGUAGAAUUCAAGUAGCAAAGUCUUCUUGGACCAGUUCCCACUGACUGAAUCCGUGGAAGGCACCAUCUUCUGCUGGUCCCUACUGUGGGCAUUGGCAGGUAAUGACCAACAACUUUGUUGUGACAUGGCUAUGGAUCCUCCACCUCUGAAGAGAGCCAAUUUAAUUUAUGUUCACACAUUGGGGUUUAAUUCUGUGGACUAAAUUUAGACGUUCUUUGCAACAAAUUUUUAUUUCUGUCCUGCUCCCCUCUGGUUUUUCCUGUGUCUGUGAGUACAGCAGACAUCAUCUAAAGCAAGCAGAAACACAAUGUAGUUUUUAUCACUGCUCUAAACUAGCCUGAAAUUCAUCUUUUUGGGUCAGCUGUGCUCAUUCACAUUGCAAAACACAAGAGCCUCUCCAGAGCAUUUUUACUACACUCAUAAAGAAAUAAUGGAAAACCAAGAAUCAUUCCUAGAGAAAGGAGAGCACGAAGCAUGAGCAAUGUCUGGCUACAGUUCCACUCCUGAUCUCUUCCCUGGACAGAACAAAGUAGGACAGUGCACUUAAAAUCCAUCUAUUUUACAACAAGACUAGUAGCUGCUUUGCUGCAGUGACAAGCAGUGAUAUUAAAAUUGUGUCACUGAGCUUUGGGAUUAACACCUUGUGGGAAGCACCUGGAGGAGCUCGCACCGCUCGGCUCUGCAGCUGCUGGGGAGCACUGCCCACACCAGGAC